rnacentral:rRNA from 1 species
AGAGUUUGAUCAUGGCUCAGAAUCAACGCUGGCGGCGCGCUUAACACAUGCAAGUCGAACGAGAAAGCCCGCAAGGGUGAGUAAAGUGGCGUACGGGUGAGUAACACGUGGGUAAUCUACCUUUUGGUGGGGAAUAACGUUGGGAAACCGGCGCUAAUACCGCAUAAGCUCGGAAGAGGAAAAGAGAAAUCUGCCGAAAGAGGAGCCCGCGGCUGAUUAGCUAGUUGGUGAGGUAAAGGCUCACCAAGGCUAUGAUCGGUAGCCGGCCUGAGAGGGCACACGGCCACACUGGCACUGAAACACGGGCCAGACUCCUACGGGAGGCAGCAGUGGGGAAUCUUGCACAAUGGGGGAAACCCUGAUGCAGCGACGCCGCGUGAGUGAUGAAGCCCUUCGGGGUGUAAAGCUCUUUCGGCAGGGACGAUAAUGACGGUACCUGAAGAAGAAGCUGCGGCUAACUACGUGCCAGCAGCCGCGGUAAUACGUAGGCAGCGAGCGUUGUUCGGAGUUACUGGGCGUAAAGAGUGCGUAGGCGGUUUUCUAAGUUUGGUGUGAAAUCUCCCGGCUUAACUGGGAGGGUGCGCCGAAGACUGGAAGGCUUGAGUAUGGGAGAGGUAAGCGGAAUUCCUGGUGUAGCGGUGAAAUGCGUAGAUAUCAGGAGGAACACCUGCGGUGUAGACGGCUUACUGGACCAUGACUGACGCUGAGGCACGAAAGCGUGGGUAGCAAACAGGAUUAGAUACCCCCGUAGUCC